rnacentral:rRNA from 1 species
GAUGAACGCUAGCUACAGGCUUAACACAUGCAAGUCGAGGGGCAGCAUUGGAGUAGCAAUACUUCAGAUGGCGACCGGCGCACGGGUGAGUAACACGUAUCCAACCUGCCGCUUACUCGGGGCUAGCCUUUCGAAAGAAAGAUUAAUACCCGAUGGUAUAAAGAGUUCGCAUGUUCUCUUUAUUAAAGAAUUUCGGUAAGCGAUGGGGAUGCGUUCCAUUAGAUAGUUGGCGGGGUAACGGCCCACCAAGUCUACGAUGGAUAGGGGUUCUGAGAGGAAGGUGCCCAACAUUGGAACUGAGACACGGUCCAAACUCCUACGGGAGGCAGCAGUGAGGAAUAUUGGUCAAUGGACGCGAGUCUGAACCAGCCAAGUAGCGUGAAGGAUGACUGCCCUAUGGGUUGUAAACUUCUUUUAUAAGGGAAUAAAGUGAGGGACGUGUCCCUUUUUGUAUGUACCUUAUGAAUAAGGAUCGGCUAACUCCGUGCCAGCAGCCGCCGUAACAC